AAGGGUGAGUUAUCUGUGUUCUGUUGUAGGGCUGGGUAUCUACUGUAUAAGGGUGAGUUAUCUGUGUUCUGUUGUAGGGCAGGGCUGGGUAUUUACUGUAUAAGGGUGAGUUAUCUGUGUUCUGUUGUAGGGCAGGGCUGGGUAUCUACUGUAUAAGGGUGAGUUAUCUGUGUGUUCUGUUGCAGGGCUGGGUAUCUACUGUAUAAGGGUGAGUUAUCUGUGUGUUCUGUUGUAGGGCAGGGUAUCUACUGUAUAAGGGUGAGUUAUCUGUGUGUUCUGUUGUAGGGCUGGGUAUCUACUGUAUAAGGGUGAGUUAUCUGUGUGUUCUGUUGCAGGGCAGGGUAUCUACUGUAUAAGGGUGAGUUAUCUGUGUGUUCUGGCAGGGCUGGGUAUCUACUGUAUAAGGGUGAGUUAUCUGUGUGCUCUGUUGCAGGGCUGGGUAUCUACUGUAAAAGGGUGAGUUAUCUGUGUGUUCUGUUGCAGGGCUGGGUAUCUACUGUAUAAGGGUGAGUUAUCUGUGUUCUGUUGCAGGGCAGGGUAUCUACUGUAUAAGGGUGAGUUAUCUGUGUUCUGUUGCAGGGCUGGGUAUCUACUGUAUAAGGGUGAGUUAUCUGUGUGUUCUGUUGUAGGGCAGGGUAUCUACUGUAUAAUAUGCCUUAAGGUUCCCACUGUAGUAGAGAGCUGAUUCACCUAACCUAGCCAUGCGUAGAUGCAGCCCCUUCACACACCAGAGGUCUUUCCUUCAUGUUAUCUCUUAGUCCUUC
ensembl:lncRNA